rnacentral:rRNA from 1 species
CGUUGAUUACGUCCCUGCCCUUUGUACACACCGCCCGUCGCUACUACCGAUUGAAUGGCUCAGUGAGGCUUUCGGACUGGCCUAGGAAGAGUGGCAACACUCAUCUAGGGCCGGAAAGUUGUUCAAACUUGGUCAUUUAGAGGAAGUAAAAGUCGUAACAAGG